GGCAACGUUCAGACCACGUUGACAUACCAGUUCUCGUCCGAUCACUGAAGUCAAGCAACGUUGGGCACGGUUAGUACUUGGAUGGGUGACCGCUUGGGAACACCGUGUGAUGUUGUCC
rfam:Solenopsis invicta Si_gnG.contig90966, whole genome shotgun sequence.